rnacentral:rRNA from 1 species
GACGAACGCUGGCGGCGUGCUUAACACAUGCAAGUCGAACGGAAAGGCCCUGCUUUUGUGGGGUGCUCGAGUGGCGAACGGGUGAGUAACGCGUGAGUAACCUGCCCUUGACUUUGGGAUAACUUCAGGAAACUGGGGCUAAUACCGGAUAGGAGCUCCUGCUGCAUGGUGGGGGUUGGAAAGUCUCGGCGGUUGGGGAUGGACUCGCGGCUUAUCAGCUUGUUGGUGGGGUAGUGGCUUACCAAGGCUUUGACGGGUAGCCGGCCUGAGAGGGUGACCGGCCACAUUGGGACUGAGAUACGGCCCAGACUCCUACGGGAGGCAGCAGUGGGGAAUAUUGCACAAUGGGCGGAAGCCUGAUGCAGCAACGCCGCGUGCGGGAUGACGGCCUUCGGGUUGUAAACCGCUUUCGCCUGUGACGAAGCGUGAGUGACGGUAAUGGGUAAAGAAGCACCGGCUAACUACGUG